rnacentral:antisense_RNA from 3 species
UUCUAUGGCGGGCCGUGUAGGGCAGGCUUUUGCCUGGCCGGUUCCCUCGGACGCCGGUUUGCUACCCCUGCACGGUCCGCCUCCCUU